rnacentral:snRNA from 1 species
AGCUUUGCACAGUGGCAGUAUCGUAGCCAAUGAGGUUUAUCCGAGGCACGAUUAUUGCUAAUUGAAAAUUUUCCCAAUACCCCGCCAUGACAACUUGAAAUAUAGUUGGCUUUGGCAAUUUUUGACAGUCUCUACGGAGA